CAAUUUUUACCAGAGGAAAAACAUAAAAGCUAUUGGAAAAAAAAAAGAGAACCUUUCCUGCUCUGGUUUGUGUUUACCCAAGUCCUCCCCCCUGAUCCGUCUUCUUAUCAGAGGUAUCCUACGAAAGGCAGAUAAGCAUUGUUUAUUCCAGGGGCUGAGUGUGUUUGCCUCACUGAAGGGGGGAGCAGACACUGUUUGCUUCACGGAGCCAUAGGGAAAAAAAAUGAAUAAAAGCUAUAAAAAAAAUAGCAGCAGCUACUUAGAACAAGACUACAUGAAGUUACACAGUGGCCUCCACUCUUCUUCCUCUGGCAAAGGCCAACAGACCUAUCCAUGUAUAUUUGGUAAUAUAAAGCCUGAAUUGUUCCUUAUUUGAUGAUAAAUUAUCAAGGAGGUAACAACCCCUAUCUGGUCAGAAUAUAUGUGAUAUAGGUUUGUUUGCCUGUGCCAAACGAACAUGAAGCACUGAGGCCACAGCAUAACUGGCCUAUGCUGUGUGAGCAUUGUAUUUAGGGAGUUGCCAAGUGAUUCUGGAUUUACCUUUGCUUUCUAUUGAAUAUUUUUUUGUAACUAAUACUUUUGUUUUCCGUGGUCUUAAUAACUAUUACCUCUAGUUUCUCUAUUUCUUUGCAGUCCUAUCUUAAACAAUUAUUAAAAGAUCUACUCGCCUUAAGUAUGAAUAUUCAACAACUACAGUUGAUAAUUCUGAAUUGUCAACAAUACUCCAAUUGAACUUGUAUUAAUUACAUUAUCUUAACUUUUUUUUUUUUCCCCUAAUUCUUUGAAGUAUUUGCUUACUUUGAAUUAAAACAUUGUUUAACUAGUUUUACUUUCUUCAUAAAUCAGAGCUAUAACUAUUUUAAUCAAAACAAUUUUGACCAAUAUUAUAAUUUCUUUGAUUCUCAAUAAUUUGUCUAUUUGAAGGUGAAAUCUCGUUUAAUUCUAAAACUGGUGUAUCAACUUCCCAAUAUACUUGUUAUCUCAUGCUUUUUAACGAUUGUAUUAACAGGGUAUUUAUUUUCAACAAUGAAUAAUUCGCAUAUUAAAAGAUAAUCCUAUCUUGUUGAGAAAAAACUUCAAUUUCUAACACUGUAUGUCCAUUAGAACAAUGCAUCAACUAAAUUAAAAUCUAGACAGUAUAUUCAUAUAAAAUCAUAUUAUCCACUAAGAAGAACCUGAAUUAAAUAUUUUGUUUGGAAAUAAAAUAAAUAAGAAAGUGAAAAGCAUAGGAAUUAAAUAACAGCAAUGAUAAUAAUAAUAAAUAAUUCAACAGAAGAAAAUAAACACUUAAAUAAUCUCUAAAAUGAAAAAUGAAAAUAAUAACUAAUACAUUGAGAGACAAACCAUACACAUUCCCAUAACCUUUUAAUAUUAUCUCAUUUCAAAUCAUACAUUAAGAGUAUUCAUCCAGUAAUUCUAUUCUUUAACUUCUCCCAAAAAAGUAGAAUACCAUGACAAAGAGUAAUUAAACAAUAAUAAAUACUCUUUAUUGCCUUCUCAAGCAGUAACUUCUUUUAUUGAAUAGUUUGCCUUCAAUAAUCAAAAUAUGACAACAAUUACGUAUUAAAUGUAUUUUAAAACUAAUAAUAGUAGGUAUUUACUAUGCUGGAUAUAUAUAUAUCUGUUUUUGCUUUAAUGUGUUUUUGUGAUGUGUUUUUAUUACAUGGCAAUAAAUAAUUUUACUCUCA
rnacentral:lncRNA from 1 species